rnacentral:rRNA from 1 species
UACAGAGACCUCAAGCGUUUAUCCGGAAUCAUUGGGCGUAAAGCGUACCGAUAGGUGGUUUAGAAAGUCAGAAGUGAAAUCUUAAAGCUCAACUUUGAGACUGUCUUUUGAAACUUCUAAACUAGAGGGGCAAAGAGGAAGCUGGAACGAACGGUGUAGUAGUGAAAUGCGUUGAUAUCGUUCGGAACACCAAUAGCGUAGGCAGGCUUCUGGGUGCCACCUGACACUGCUAGGACGAAAGCGUGGGUAGCGAAGUGGG